rnacentral:rRNA from 1 species
AACGAACGCUGGCGGCAUGCCUAACACAUGCAAGUCGAACGAGACCUUCGGGUCUAGUGGCGCACGGGUGCGUAACGCGUGGGAACCUGCCCUUAGGUUCGGAAUAACUCCCCGAAAGGGGUGCUAAUACCGGAUAAUGUCUUCGGACCAAAGAUUUAUCGCCUUUGGAUGGGCCCGCGUUGAAUUAGCUAGUUGGUAGGGUAGAAGCCUACCAAGUCGACGAUCCAUAGCUGGUCUGAGAGGAUGAUCAGCCACACUGGGACUGAGACACGGCCCAGACUCCUACGGGAGGCAGCAGUGGGGAAUAUUAGACAAUGGGCGAAAGCCUAAUCCAGCAAUGCCGCGUGAGUGAUGAAGGCCUUAGGGUUGUAAAGCUCUUUUACCCGGGAUGAUAAUGACAGUACCGGGAGAAUAAGCACCGGCUAACUCCGUG